CUCCGUAAACAUCUGAUAAUAUAUUUUAAAACAUAACGGCAGACAGUCAGCUAGCCUCGUUCAGGUUGAGGGGCUUUUCCGCACCGGACUGUCAAUCAAAUUGUAAAAAUCACAAGACCGCUUAACUCUAUGGUUUUGGCUCCAAAUCGAGAAAAUGGCCGCGCCCGCCAUUGAGCUUCAAAACGUGUUUUAGAGACCCACGGAGAGUCAAUGGGUGACGUCACAGUAGCUGUGUCCAUAUUUUUUACAGUCUCUGAUCUUAACCCAAUCUCUCCUGGUCAACACACUUUCCCCUUACGUCACAUCCUUACUAGGGUAGUCUUCCAACUACUCUCGGGAAAGUAAUACAGUGCCUCCUAGUGGUCAGAAUACACUCAACCUGUAACAUCUAUUAUUGAACACAACAAAUUGCAUGGUAUGAAACGGGAAUGAACUAUUUUUUCUUGAUAAAAUCAUUGUUUUCAUAGAACUUACGACCAGAGAUGUUUGCUUAACAACGGUGCGACUAGAACUACAAACCAGAGUGUCUGCAUAAGGACGGUCCAAUUAGAACUACGAAGCAGAGUUUUGCUUGACAACGCUGGCUAGAGUGUCGCCGGAUUGUGCAGUACACAAGUCUUGUACAGUAUCCAGUCUUCUGGGCCAUGUAACAGUAGGAACAGAGACGAGACUAACGGCAACCAAUGAACAAGUUGAGGAUGUUUCAGUGUUGGAGGGAUUUGACUGACGACGUAACGUGAAAAGAAAACAAUUGCAUCAUACAAAGACAGCGUGCAGCACAGCAUGCAGCAUAACGCUGGGUUUUUUGGAUACCUGAGAAGAAACCUGUGAACCUAGGAUUCUCUCCCUGACGAGGGAGAUGGCGAGCCGACCAGCUUGAUCAACUUGAUUCAUCUUCAUCCAUUGAGGAAGAACCCCUGAUACCCCUUGUUUCUCCCAACCCCACUCUGGUGUGGUAGGAUUGUGAUUGAGAAAUUAACAAUUUUAUUUGAUACUUUAUUUUUUGUAAAAAGGGUACACCCAACCAACAAUACUGACUUGAAACUAACUAAAUUGAACUUGACCAAUUGAACUGAACCAGACUGAACAGAAGACAUUCAGAACUGAAUGGACAGUGAAUACAGUUACAACACUCAGGACAUUGAUAUGAAGACAAAUGAAUGUGUUUGAAUGUGAUAAGCUUUACAUAUUGUCAUUACGUUUUCUUUAAUACAGUUCUAACCAUUUUGCACUUA